rnacentral:lncRNA from 1 species
CAUUUUCCCUGCUUUCCCAUAAGAGCCUUUGGUAAAUUGCCCCUUGUAUGAGAUCUGAGCCUUCCCUUCUUCAGGGAGCUGAAUUAUCUCCCUCCCAAGGGAGGUCUCUCAUUCCGUUUGCUGUCUGCUAUGUAAUCUCUGGGGUCUCCAAUCUGAUAUUUGUUGGGUUUAUUUGCAUGUUUAUUGUAGAGCCAGCAUUUAGCAGGGAGGGAAUUAAGGCUGGGAGACGUCCCUGGGAGGCCUCUUUCUCCAUUAAGUUCCACCAUCAGAAGCUCAGCUUGAACCCCAAAUGACACCCCCUGGACUAAUAAUGUGAAAGGGAGCAGAUGGCUAGAGUCACAGCCUUGGGCUUUCCCUCCUGGCAAAGAUUGGAGGAAAGGACCAGCGAUAGCAACAGGAAAAUGGAAUCCUGUGGAGCUGGAAUGAUCAAGUUUGGCCCCAAGGGAAGGAAGGUUCUCCCUUCUUUGUAGAUGUGGGGGACUAUGGGUGAGGAGCAUUACAUGGACUGCCAGACUUGCUUAGUUGUGUGAACUUCCUUUUUCAGUCUUGGAUACAGGAGAAUGGAGAAGAAAAUAAUUAGAGGUAAAGAGGAUGGAAAACAAAUGAUAGCAAUAAAAAUAACCCCCAACGUAGCAUGUUUUUAAAGAAGGUAGGCAGGGGACAGCUAGGGGGUUCAGUGGAUUGAGAGUCAGGUCUAGAAACAGGAGGUCCUGGAUUCAAAUCUAGCCUCAGAAACUUCCCAGCUGUAUGAUCCUGAGCAAGUUCCUUCACCCCCAUUGCCUAGCCCUUGCUGUUCUUCUGCCUUGGAAUCAAGCAUCAAACAUUUUCAGAAAGAGAAAGAAAGAAAGAAAGAAAGAAAGAAAGAAAGAAAGAAAGAAAGAAAGAAAGAAAGAAAGAAAGAAAGAAAGAAAGAAAGAAAGAAAGAAAGAAAGAAAGAAAGAAAGAAAGAAAGAAAGAAAGAAAGAAAGAAAGAAAGAAAGAAAGAAAGAAAGAUAGAAAGCAGAAAGGAAGGAAGGAAGGAAGGAAGAAGGAAGAAAGGAAGGAAGGAAGGAAGGAAGGAAGGAAGGAGGAAGGAAGGAAGGAAGGAAGGAAGGAGGAAGGAAGAAAGGAAGGAAGGAAGGAAGGAAGGAAGGAAGGAAGGAAGGAAGGAAGGAAGGAAGGAAGGAAGGAAGGAAGGAAGGAAGGAAGGAAGGAAGGAAGGAAGGAAGGAAGGAAGGAAUGAAGGAAGGAAGGGAGGAAGGAAGGUAGGGGAGGGAUGAAGAGAGGAAGGGAGGAAGGGAAGGAGGGAACAAAUGGAGCGAUGUACUUAAGUCACGAACUAAUGACCGAAGGAUCGCAGGAACGCUAG